rnacentral:lncRNA from 1 species
CUCUAUUCGGGGAGGCUGCAGCCCAGCGGGAGGGAGCUGAAGCUGACUCUCCUGGCGAGCCGAGGCCGCACUCACGCUCUGCAGCCCAGAGACUGCAGGGCGGGGACUCUGAGCCUGGCUGGUCCUGGGUUCUCUUUCAGGCCCCUGGCCUGGGACUGUGGAUGGGAGGGGGGCAGGUGCAAUGGCUCCUGUCACUGGGCUGACUUGCAUGCAGGAAGGAGACAGCAAGAUGAGUCCAUCUGAGCCAGGCCUCCAGGGAUCCUCCCUGCCAGGGGCUCCUGUGCCCCCUGGGGAAUGAUUGCAUCUUGGAACUGAGGAGGUUCUGGAAGCUGUACACCCAAGGAAGACAUUCUGUGCCGGAGAGAGAGUGGGAGAGAUGUGACUGCUGCUGGCUGGGUGAGGACAGGCCCAGAGGACAGCAUCACUGGCACCCACCCCUGCAUUUGGGUCCUCUGCACCUCAGCUCCCAGCAUCUGGGCCUCCUCCCUGCCUGCCUCCCCCCCUCACUCAAUCUGUCUCCACUCAAGAGGCUGAUGGGCAGGUCUCCCUGCUUCUUCAAAUCUUUCAAAGGGAAACUUCACAAAGACAGGAGCCCUGACCCAUCCACCUUGGCCUCACCCCACCCCAGCACGGAAGCCAGGCGGCCAGUGGAGGCCGGUAGUGCUGAAUGGACAUGGGGCUGGAUGAAAAGACUUCCGCCUGCCUCUCUCAGCCCCGGAAUCGCCAUGAGCUGCUAUUCCGGAGAUUCUAUGCUACAGAAGUACAAGGUGAAGAAUGCAUACCGAUUACAUUGGCAAGGGAGAGAAGAGCCUGGUGCUAGCACUUUUGCUUCUUUGGUCUUUCAAUAAUGUCUUUCCCCUUGAUUAUACAUGAUAUAUUCCUAUUUUGGAAACUUCGAAAACUAUAAAAAAGUCAAAAGAAUAAUAUUACCACUCAGAAAUAA